rnacentral:rRNA from 1 species
UACGUAGGCAGCGAGCGUUGUUCGGAGUUACUGGGCGUAAAGAGUGCGUAGGCGGUUUUCUAAGUUUGGUGUGAAAUCUCCCGGCUUAACUGGGAGGGUGCGCCGAAAACUGGAAGGCUUGAGUAUGGGAGAGGUAAGCGGAAUUCCUGGUGUAGCGGUGAAAUGCGUAGAUAUCAAGAGGAACACCUGAGGUGAAGACGGGUUGCUGGGCCGACACUGACGCUGACAGCGCGAAAGCCAGGGGAGCAAACGGG